UUUAGACCCACGUGACACCCACAAAAACGUCCAAUAAAGAGAGCAGAAGCCAUGCUCCCUCCCUCCCAUCCUUUCCCGUUCUCAGGCUGAGCUCAGCUGCCACAGGGAGGUGCUGUGCUGUCUCUGUCUCUCGCUGUCUCUGGCUGAGAGAAGCCUGGAGCCCUGGAAUUGCAUGUGUGAGGCCCUGGCCGCAUCUAAAGGGAAAGGAAUUAAGGCAUCUGAUGGGGGUUGGCUGGGACCCCACUCCAACAGCAGACCUAGCGCACCAGAGGCUGCUCCCCUGCACUGUAACGUUGGGGUGUGUGUGUGUGUGUUUUCUCUGUGUGCUAGGCCUUAGGCCUGUGUGGGCAGCUCUGCUCCGGGCAAGUGGGUGGAGGCAGCUUUCUCAUUCUUUCCAUCUCAGAAUGGGGAGGAGACGCACCACUUGUGUUCCAGUGGAGGCUCAAGCCAGUGGCCAGCUUGGUGCACACUGAGGCAUGUGCCCUACUGGCUUGUGGACCACUUCUGGUGGGGAUGGGGACGCACAGGAAGUCCUGAGGCCUGUGACCUGCCUGCCCAGAACCAUGACAGUCUCACCUAGCCGGUGAGAACCCAGAGACCUUAAGAGCACACGCAGCGCCAGGAAUCGAACCAGCCCCAGCCACACCAGCCAGCGCUCGGCCGGUUGAGCCCUAUCCCUAGCCACAAGAAUAUAAUAAACAUAUAUGUACCUGCAUAUAUAUUAGAUAGAUAUAUUUUUAAUUGCAGCCUGGGUUUAUUGCGUGCAGCUCAGUGCCAGCACUAGGAACCCACUGCUUCCAGCAGCCAUUUUCCCUUUCUUAAUUUUUACUGGAUCGGACAAAGAGAAACAGGAGAGAGGGAGAUGAGACAGACACGUACAGACCUGCUUCACCAUUCGUGAAGCCCCCCCACAGGUGGGGAGGGAGGGCCUCGAACCCAGGUCCUUGUGCACUAUAGCAUGUUCACUCAGCCGAGUGCUAUCACCCAACCUCGUUUAUUUUAAAUAGAGAACCUGAGAGAAAGGGGAAAGAGAGAGAUCUGCCGUCCUGCUUCACUGCUUACGAAGCUUCCACCCUGCAGGUGGGGAGCAGGGGCUUGAACUAGGGUCCUUGUGCAAGGCAGCACGAGUGACAUACUGGUUCUGCCACUACGUGGCCCCAGAACUUAAUUUUUUAAAGCCAGUCUUUUUCUUUUUCCCUGCCACUAGGGUUAUCUCUGGGGCUUGGUGCUGCUACUAUAGAUUCACUGCUCCCAGUGGUCUUGUUCUCUUUUUAAAUUUUAUUUUGAUAGGACAGAGAGAAAAAUAAAAAAAGGGAAGACUCCUGCAGACCUGCUUCAGCUAGUGAAACUCCCCCCAUGUAGGUGAGGAGCUGGAGCUCGAACCCAGUUCGUUGCGCAGGGAAGUAUGUGUACACUCCACCGCGUGCGUCUCCACCUGGCCCCACGCCGGUCUUGAAGCCGGUUAAGGAGGCUUUCCCAAGCCUUCACAGGGCCAGAGGGCACGCCCCUGGACCCCGCCACCUGGGCCCCAUCCUCCUGCCCCAGUGCCAGCAGGCGACCUGCUUCUGUGCUAUCUCCCUCUCCAUCUCUGAAUGUGGUGAAGUUUCCCGGGGAACAGGCCCCAUGCCAUGAAAAUAAGUAAGAAAAAGCCUGCAAGGAGGCUGGGCGCUGACACGCUGGUUGAGAACACACGUCACAAUGCACAAGGACCCGGGUUCAAGCCUCCGGCCCCCACCUGCAGCAGUGAAGAGGGCUGCGGGUGUCUCUCCCUCUCUAUCUUCCCCUUCCCUCUCGAUGUCUGUCUCCAAUAAAUAUUUAAAUAAAUAAA